rnacentral:rRNA from 1 species
UUGUCCCGUGUUGCCAGCGGUGCGGCCGGGCACUCACGGGAGACUGCCGGUGACAAACCGGAGGAAGGUGGGGAUGACGUCAAAUCCGCAUGGCCUUGAUGGCCUGGGCUACACACGUGCUACAAUGGCGCCGGCAAUGGGGGGCGACCGCGCGAGCGGGAGCGAAUCCCGAAACGGCGUCGUAGUUCGGAUCGCAGGCUGCAACUCGCCUGCGUGAAGCCGGAAUUGCUAGUAAUCGCCCAUCAGCACGGGGCGGUGAA